UACGUAGGGCGCAAGCGUUGUCCGGAAUUAUUGGGCGUAAAGAGCUCGUAGGCGGCUUGUCACGUCGAUUGUGAAAGCCCGAGGCUUAACCUCGGGUCUGCAGUCGAUACGGGCUAGCUAGAGUGUGGUAGGGGAGAUCGGAAUUCCUGGUGUAGCGGUGAAAUGCGCAGAUAUCAGGAGGAACACCGGUGGCGAAGGCGGAUCUCUGGGCCUUACCUGACGCUCAGGUGCGAAAGCUAGGGGAGCGAACAGG
rnacentral:rRNA from 1 species